CGCGGGAGACACACGGCGGGUGCUAACGUCCGUCGUGAAAAGGGAAACAACCCAGACCCGCAGCUAAGGUCCCAAAAUCAUCGCUGAGUGGAAAACGAUGUGGAAAGGCACAGACAGCCAGGAGGUUGGCUUAGAAGCAGCCAUCCUUUAAAGAAAGCGUAAUAGCUCACUGGUCGAGUCGGUCUGCGCGGAAGAUUUAACGGGGCUAAUCGAUGUACCGAAGCUCGGGGUGCACACUAUGUGUGCGCGGUAGAGGAGCGUUCCGUAAGCCGUCGAAGGUGUGUGGAAACGCAUGCUGGAGGUAUCGGAAGUGCGAAUGCUGACAUGAGUAACGAUAAGGGGGGUGAAAAGCCUCCCCGCCGAAAGCCCAAGGUUUCCUUGCGCAACGUUAAUCGACGCAGGGUGAGUCGGCCCCUAAGGCGAGACCGAAAGGUGUAGUCGAUGGGAAGCUGGUUAAUAUUCCAGCACCUCGCGUGACUGCGAUGGGGGGACGGAGAAGGUUAGGUGUACCGGCUGUUGGUUGCCGGGGAAAGGCGGUAGGCAUGAGGCGUAGGCAAAUCCGCGCUUCUUUAUGCCGAGCACCGAGACGAGUCCUAUUGGACGAAGUCACUGAUACCACGCUUCCAGGAAAAGCCUCUAAGCUUCAGGUCACGCAAGACCGUACCGGAAACCGACACAGGUGGGCAGGAUGAGAAUUCUAAGGCGCUUGAGAGAACUCGGGUGAAGGAACUAGGCAACAUGGCACCGUAACUUCGGGAGAAGGUGCACCACGUUUGGUGGCCCAUGCGGGCUAUAGCUGGACGUGGUCGCAGAAACCAGGCCGCUGCGACUGUUUAUCAAAAACACAGCACUCUGCAAACACGAAAGUGGACGUAUAGGGUGUGACGCCUGCCCGGUGCUGGAAGGUUAAUUGAUGGGGUCAGCCGCAAGGCGAAGCUCUUGAUCGAAGCCCCAGUAAACGGCGGCCGUAACUAUAACGGUCCUAAGGUAGCGAAAUUCCUUGUCGGGUAAGUUCCGACCUGCACGAAUGGCGUAACGACAGCGGCGCUGUCUCCACCCGAGACUCAGUGAAAUUGAAAUCGCUGUGAAGAUGCAGCGUUCCCGCGGCAAGACGGAAAGACCCCGUGAACCUUUACUAUAGCUUUACAUUGAACGUUGAGUUCGUCUGUGUAGGAUAGGUGGGAGGCUUUGAAGCGCAGGCGCUAGCUUGCGUGGAGCCAUCCUUGAAAUACCACCCUGAUGUGCUUGACGUUCUAACCUGGGCCCGUUAUCCGGGCCGGGGACCAUGUAUGGUGGGUAGUUUGACUGGGGCGGUCUCCUCCCAAAGAGUAACGGAGGAGCACGAAGGUACGCUCAGCGCGGUCGGACAUCGCGCACUGUGUGCAAAGGCAUAAGCGUGCUUGACUGCGAGAUCGACGGAUCAAGCAGGUACGAAAGUAGGUCUUAGUGAUCCGGUGGUUCUGUAUGGAAGGGCCAUCGCUCAACGGAUAAAAGGUACUCCGGGGAUAACAGGCUGAUACCGCCCAAGAGUUCAUAUCGACGGCGGUGUUUGGCACCUCGAUGUCGGCUCAUCACAUCCUGGGGCUGUAGUCGGUCCCAAGGGUAUGGCUGUUCGCCAUUUAAAG
rnacentral:rRNA from 1 species